AGAUGGAUGGAGCGGCGGAGAGGAGGAGAGGAGCGCCUAAAGGUGGCACAGCCAAGUGACGCACAAAUAAAACCAGGCUGGAGAAAGGGAAGAUGGGAAGAUGGGGAAGUAUGGAUUUCACCAGUCCAGCGCCACAGCCCAUCUUCCUUUGAUAAAAAUCCCAUCCACUCCACAAAGCCCACUGGUAAUUAAGGACCCUUCAAAUACCACUCACUGACUGCUGGGGAUGUUCCUGUGCUGAGAAUUAAUGUUUGAUGUGUCGCCCUCAUCUGGUCAGAAAAGUAACUGCACCCCAUUCACAAGACAGACAGGGAAAAUGAAAACACAUUUAUCUCAUGAUAAAUGAGAUAAUGUAAAGGGUGCUGUUCUCACCGUGUGAGCCUGUCAUGGUUCAGUCCAGGGGUCAUCUCCUGCGUCCACCGAGACACACAGAGAUAGAGACAGAGGUUAAUUGGGCUCAGAUGCACCUCACUGUCCCGAUGGGCUCGGCCUGCCGCUCAGCCAAGACUCAGUCCAAGCCCCAGUUUCCACAUGAAGACACAGAGGCUUUGUUCACAUGUGCACUGUAUUCUGAUAGUGGGUCACUGUCUGGUUAAGGCCUGUUUCAGGGGGAAGCCUGUUAUUAUGCAUAUCUAACACACCGCUUUGUGUGACUAGUCAGCAAAUAUGCAUAUUUCUCACCAUCCACCUGCAUUUGGAGGAUAAAAAAAAAUAGCAACAUCUGGUGCAACAUAGACAAUAUUUAUUGGUUAUAUGAUGUCCAAGCAAAGCACUUGUUCCUGAUUGGCUGAAAUGUGUCCAAUAAAAUAGUACAUCAGGGGAACUCAAACUGUUUAACCUGUUCUAAAUCAGUGCACAGGAUACAUGAUCUUAAAAUGUAGGUAACCAUAGCAACAGUAUUUAAGCUUCACAGUGCCUUACUGUUUAAAGGAAUAGUUCUAUUUUCUGGGAAAUGUGCUUAUUUGCUUUCUUGCUGAGAGUUACUGGGAAUCCACAUCAGAAUCUAGACACAAGCACAACUGAAUCGUCCAAAUCGACCUCAGUUCGACAGCCAAUAUCAUCAGAACCAGCUGUCCUGACAGCAGCACAGCUCCUAAGGUGCUGAAAGGACAGCAGCCAAACUGCCUUCACCAGGCUCACAGCAGAAAUGUAUGGCCAAAUAUAGUUUUCAAGUAGGCUCAAUGAGGAGUGCAAGGGGAGAAAACUGUUAUUUUUAUUGACUGAUUCUUUGGUCUUAUUUCCCACCCACCAUAGUUGGCAGGGAAAAUAUUCCCAUAGUGAAAUUAGAAUGCUCAGAGUGGCACUGGGUUCUUGAUCAAUCAGUACAGAUACCGGUAAUAAGUUCACAGCAUAUGAAUAUCAAGAGAUUUAUGUGAUUUGAACAGCUUUCUCUGGAGAUUAUGCUUCAGUAAAUGUGCCAGAGAAAAUACUAUUAUAGAAAAAAAAAACACAAAGGGUCCCGUAUGUGUCUCAUAGUCAGUGUGAAUUGAUACAUUUGAUAAAAUGGACAUCUUCUGUCUGACGUCAAAAACAAUUAAAAUGUUUUCUACAUGAAUUACCCUUUAGAAACAUUAUAUCUCAAUGGUUUAGUCCAUGGCCACACCGCAGUGCACCGUGGUGGAGAGGGGGGCAGGAAGCCACUAUACCUGUAAUUAGUGAGCUUUGGAGGUGCUGGUAGGCAGACUUUGUUACCUUCAGACAGGACCACGGUAGCUGUGUUCCCAUUCCAGGUUUUUAUGCUAAGCUAAGCUAAGCAAAGCAAAGCUAACCCUCUCCUGUCUGUAGUUUCAUACUCAUAGAUAUGACAGUGCUAUCGAUCUUCUCUCAGCAAGAAGGCAAAUAGGCCUAUUGUCAAACUAUAUCUUCUCUACCAGGUGUAAACGACUCCUGGUUAAAAUGUUAUAAAAACUAUUAAAAAUGCAUAAUGAUUUGAACACAGCUUCUAUAUUUUCCUUGUGGUAUAAGUGGGAUAUUUCAGGAUGAAGUGUUCAUUGUUUUUUGUGUUUUAGGACACCUCAGCCUGCAUUAUCCUAUAUGGCAACUUGGGUGUUUGUAAAUGACAGUGACAGUUUAAUAAACAAAAUAUCUGUGGUGACUGCAAAAUAAGCCCCUUUCUGGUGAUCAAUACCUCUGCCCCGUUCUUAAUUCAACUUGUCAGGGAAAAUAAACUUCUUGUUCCAUGCCUCAUACCCUACUCUCCGUUGACUCUCCUGUCUCUUUUUUGCUGCAAAUGAUAAAACGAGUGAGCCAGAAGGGUAGAAGCUACAGAAACUAGUCAGUAAUAACCUAGUAGAUAUGGGAAAAGUUUAUCUUAUGACCAGAAUAGGACAUUGUCUAGGUUA